rnacentral:rRNA from 1 species
CCUACGGGGGGCUGCAGUGGGGAAUAUUGGACAAUGGGGGGAACCCUGAUCCAGCCAUGCCGCGUGUGUGAAGAAGGCCCUCGGGUUGUAAAGCACUUUCAGUGAGGAAGAACGCCUGGUGGUUAAUACCCAUCAGGAAAGACAUCACUCACAGAAGAAGCACCGGCUAACUCCGUGCCAGCAGCCGCGGUAAUACGGAGGGUGCGAGCGUUAAUCGGAAUUACUGGGCGUAAAGCGCGCGUAGGUGGCUUGAUAAGCCGGUUGUGAAAGCCCCGGGCUCAACCUGGGAACGGCAUCCGGAACUGUCAAGCUAGAGUGCAGGCGAGGAAGGUAGAAUUCCCGGUGUAGCGGUGAAAUGCGUAGAGAUCGGGAGGAAUACCAGUGGCGAAGGCGGCCUUCUGGACUGACACUGACACUGAGGUGCGAAAGCGUGGGUAGCAAACAGGAUUAGAUACCCUAGUAGUC